UGAUUAAUAUGUCCUCUCCUCUUUUUGAAGCUUGGGAAUUUUUGGAGGCACUUGGUGAUGCCUUCGGGCUAGACAUCGAAAAAGUCACUCUACGUCAUCUUAAGGGCCUGCUUGGACUGAGAUAUCGCGAUCCCUGCUCCAGACACACCUGGUGAUUUUCCCUGACUGCUGUGACAAGCAUAUAAAAUUGUUAGGUGACUAGCAGUAGAUGUCCCAUAUUGUGCCAAUCUAGCCUAGUUGAAAAGCUUUUCUAAACUCAACUGAUCUAAGGAUACAAACCCUACGUCAUAUCAAGGGAUGAAGAACCGGUUGAGAUGCAGAAUGCAUUUGGUGAGGUGAUUCCAGUUCCAGGACACUGGCGUGUUUUGUUUGACACAGGCAAUGAAGCAGGCACAGGCAUAUCCAGAG